CCUACGGGUGGCAGCAGUGAGGAAUAUUGGUCAAUGGCCGGAAGGCUGAACCAGCCAUGCCGCGUGAAGGUCAGUGCCCUAUGGGCGUUAAACUUCUUUUGUGCGGGAGCAAUAAUGGUCACGUGUGGCCAGACGAGAGUACCGUACGAAUAAGCAUCGGCUAACUCCGUGCCAGCAGCCGCGGUAAAACGGGGGAUGCAAGCGUUAUCGGGGUUUAUAGGUUUUAAAGGGGGCGUAGGCUGUGCGGUAAGUCAGCGGUGAAAUGCCCCGGCUCAACGGGGUGAAGUGCCAUUGAUACUGGCUUGCUGGAAUGCGGAUGAGGUGGGAGGAAUGUGUGGUGUAGCGGUGAAAUGCAUAGAGAUCAGAAAGAAUACCGAUUGCGAAGGCAUCUCACGAAUCCGCGAUUGACGCUGAUGCACGAAAGCGUGGGUAUCAAACAGGAUUAGAUACCCGAGUAGUC
rnacentral:rRNA from 1 species